rnacentral:rRNA from 1 species
GAUGAACGCUAGCGGCAGGCUUAAUACAUGCAAGUCGAGGGGCAGCAUGACUGUAGCAAUACAGUUGAUGGCGACCGGCAAACGGGUGCGGAACACGUACAGAACCUUCCUUCGAGCGGGGAAUAGCCCAGAGAAAUUUGGAUUAAUACCCCAUAGUAUUACGGAGUGGCAUCACUUUGUAAUUAAAGAUUUAUCACUUGAAGAUGGCUGUGCGGCUGAUUAGGUAGUUGGCGGGGUAACGGCCCACCAAGCCUGCGAUCAGUAACUGGUGUGAGAGCACAACCAGGCAGACGGGCACUGGGAACCGGGACCGACUCCUACGGGAGGCAGCAGUAAGGAAUAUUGGUCAAUGGACGAAAGUCUGAACCAGCCAUGCCGCGUGGAGGAUGAAGGUCCUCUGGAUUGUAAACUUCUUUUAUAUGGGACGAAAAAAGGCUUUUCUAAGUCGUCUGACGGUACCAUAUGAAUAAGCACCGGCUAACUCCGUGCCAGCAGCCGCCGUAAUAC